rnacentral:rRNA from 1 species
UUAAUAUGAAUUAUAUAUUUAAUUUUCCCGAACUUAAAAGAGCUAACUUAAUAUAAAUUUUAUUGUGGAAUAAAUAUUUAUAAUAUUUAGUUGGUAAUGAAAUGUUAUUCGUUUUUAAAUAUAUCUGGUUUUUUUAGAAAUAAAUUUAAUUUAGCUUAAUUUAUAUAAUCAAUUUAAUUUUUAAUUGAUUUUGUUAUUAAGGUAAUAUAUUAGGGGAUAAGCUUUAAUAUAAAGUUUUAUAAAUGAAUUGGGGGUAUUGAAUUAGAUAGGAUUAGAAGUUUCCAUUUUUAGGAGGGUGUUAUAACUUAUUUUGUGGUAAGUUUUAUUUUUAUUUGUUUUAAGUUUUUUAUAAAAAUGUAAUUUUAAGUUUUAAUUGAUUAGAAAUAAUGGUAGAAUUAGUAUAUAAUUGUUUAGUUUUAAUGGGGGUGUUUUAGGUUAACAAAAGGAAUUCGGCAAAUAAUUUUUUACCUGUUUAUUAAAAACAUGGCCUUUUGAGUAUAAUUUAAGGUCUAGCCUGCCCACUGAGGUUUUAAAUGGCCGCGGUAACCU